UACGUAGGGGGCAAGCGUUGUCCGGAAUCAUUGGGCGUAAAGCGCGUGUAGGCGGCUGAGUAAGUCUGCUCUGAAAGCCCGGGGCUCAACCCCCGGGAGGCGGGUGGAUACUGCUCAGCUCGAGUCCGGAAGAGGAGUGUGGAAUUCCUGGUGUAGCGGUGAAAUGCGCAGAUAUCAGGAGGAACACCAAUGGCGAAGGCAGCACUCUGGGACGGUACUGACGCUGAGACGCGAAAGCGUGGGAGCAACAGG
rnacentral:rRNA from 1 species